CUCAUAAGGCUAAAUACAAUCUAGUGACCGAUAGUGUACAAGUACCGUGAGGGAAGGGUGAAAAGAACCCCGAGAGGGGAGUGAAAUAGAACCUGAAACCAUUGGUUUACAAUCCGUUAAAGAGUCGGAUAAGAAUUUAUUCUUAUCUCUCAAUAGCGUGCCUUUUGAAGAAUGAGCCAGCGAGUUACCGUUUGUGGCAAGGUUAACCCGAGAGGGGAAGCCGAAGCGAAAGCGAGUCUGAAUAGGGCGUACUAGUCGCAGGCGGUAGACCCGAAGCCGGGUGAUCUAUCCAUGAGCAGGGUGAAGCGGAGGUAAGACUUCGUGGAGGCCCGAACCCACCCUAGUUGAAAAUAGGGGGGAUGACUUGUGGAUAGGGGUGAAAGGCCAAUCAAACCCGGUGAUAGCUGGUUCUCCCCGAAAUGCAUUUAGGUGCAGCGUCGUGAGUUCAGUAUCGGAGGUAGAGCUACUGGAUGGUUUAGGGGGCCUACAAGCUUACCAACAUCAGCCAAACUCCGAAUGCCGAUACUCCAGAUCACGGCAGUGAGACUAUGGGGGCUAAGCUUCAUAGUCGAGAGGGAAACAGCCCAGAGCGCCAACUAAGGUCCCAAAUUUAUACUCAGUGGUAAACGAUGUGGGAAUGCCUAGACAGCCAGGAGGUUGGCUUAGAAGCAGCCAUCCUUGAAAGAGUGCGUAAUAGCUCACUGGUCGAGUGUUCCUGCGCGGACAAUGUAACGGGGCUCAAGUAUAAAACCGAAGUUGCGUCAUUAGGAUAAUUUAUUAUUACUGAUGGGUAGGGGAGCGUCGAGUUCGACUGUGAAGCCAGAUGAUAACGUCUGGUGGAGUGGACUCGAGUGAGAAUGCUGGCAUGAGUAGCGAACGAAGGGGGAGGAACCCUUCCUCCGAAUAUCCAAGGGUUCCUGGGCAAGGCUCAUCCGCCCAGGGUUAGUCGGGAGCUAAGGCGAGGCCGAAAGGCGUAGUCGAUGCACAACUGGUUGAUAUUCCAGUACCACCAUAUUCGCGCCCAGCCUAAGCUAAUUUGCUAAGUGGCUGUUAAUUUAUUAACGAAACGACCCAAUUAGUGCAUGGUAAUUGUAGGGGGACGCAGGAAGGUAGAUCUGACAGGUGAUGGUUAUCCUGGAAGUAAGUAAGUAGGGAGUGUGAUAGGAAAAUCCGUUGCACAUUAAUCCUGAGAUACGACACGUAGCCGAUUUAGGCGAUUUGAUUGAUCCUAUGCUGCCUAGAAAAGCCUAGCAAUGAGUUAAUAUGGUGCCCGUACCCCAAACCGACACAGGUAGAUAAGUAGAGAAUACUAAGGAGAGCGAGAUAACUCCGGUUAAGGAACUCGGCAAAAUGCCCCCGUAACUUCGGGAUAAGGGGGGCCUCAGUAAAGUGAUUGUCUUCGCGACAUGAGCUUGAGGAGGCCGCAGUGACUAGAGCCAAGCGACUGUUUACCAAAAACACAGGUGCAUGCGAAGCCGUAAGGCGAUGUAUAUGCACUGACGCCUGCCCAAUGCUGGAAGGUCACGGAGAGAGGUUAGCGCUUGUCGCGAAGCUUCGAACUUAAGCCCCAGUGAAUGGCGGCCGUAACUAUAACGGUCCUAAGGUAGCGAAAUUCCUUGUCGGGUAAGUU
rnacentral:rRNA from 1 species